CGCCGACUACCAGUAGUCACGAAGGAGUGGUAUUCUUAACCACCGACACGUAUGCACGAAGGACACAAAGGGAAACCAUAUCUGGGACUUGUUCCGAGGUAAUGUUGAGUUGCAGGGUGUAAACUGACAUGUGAGCUCAUGGCCUGCAUAGAACAAACAUGCAUCAUACUUGUUGUGUAUUUGCAUUUGAU